rnacentral:rRNA from 1 species
GUGAGGAAUAUUGCCCAAUGGACGCAAGUCUGAGGCAGCAACGCCGCGUGGGCGACGAAGGCCUUCGGGUUGUAAAGCCCUUUUCUGGGGGACGAGAAAGGACGGUACCUCAGGAAUAAGUCACGGCUAACUACGUGCCAGCAGCCGCGGUAAUACGUAGGUGGCUAGCGUUAUCCGGAUUCACUGGGCGUAAAGCGCGUGCAGGCGGUUCCGUAAGUCGGACGUGAAAGCUCCUGGCUUAACUGGGAGAGGUCGUUCGAUACUGCGGGGCUUGAGGUCGGGAGAGGGACGUGGAAUUCCCGGUGUAGUGGUGGAAUGCGUAGAUAUCGGGAGGAACACCAGUGGCGAAGGCGGCGUCCUGGCCCGCACCUGACGCUAAGACGCGAAAGCGUGGGUAGCGAACGGGAUUAGAAACCCGAGUAGUCC